GCGGAGUGGUGGCCACGCCGGGGUCAGCGCCCAGGUCCCGCAGGCGGAGCGAUUGGCAGAGUGAACACCACAUUUGAGCUGCACAGUGGGACCGAGAUUUUGGAAAUGGCACGGGUGGGAUUGGAGGGAGCCGCGUGAUUGGCAGUAGCCUCGGCUGCUCGAUUGGCUCCCGUUCAGGCCCUCGACCCAGCGGGGAUUCGCCCCCGUGCUUGCGGCCGCCUGCGCUUUCGCUUCGCGCCCCCUCCUCCGCUGGAGCCACACGUCCCCGCCUCCCCGGGGAUGCCCAAGUUGCACUUGCAGAAAGUUUGAGCCUGGCCUGCGCGCGCAGCGCCCCGCUCUUCCUUGACGCACCUCGCGGAGCGCGCGCCGGCACGCGGGCAGAGGGCGCGGGGUGGUGAGGGGCUGAGGACCCCCGAGGGGCAGUCCCAGUUUCAAAAACCUUGGCCUCACUUCUCUGUGUGCCUUCUGGCACCCAAGUACUUUCUGCCUCUACCUCCACCUCUCUUGUGGGGUGGAAGAGCCCUGGGCUGCUGUUUGGGAGAGAAGGGUGAAUAGCCCGUCCUACCUGUAGUGGUGAUGCUAGAAACUUCUUGUUUGGACACCCAACCUGCCUAGCGCUCACCUAGGGCGCAUAGACAGUAGACGGAGUGAAGAAGAUAAAGUCUAUUGGUUGCAAGACAACUUGAGUGAUUUGGCUCCGCGAAACACCAGGUGAAGUCAAAAUAAGUCUUUCCCCCAAAGGAACCGUUUUACCUCGACUUUUUAUCUCAUGGAGAGUCCUUUUCAACAUGGUUCAAAGGAGUUGGAUGGAAGUGUAAUCUCACUACUCAUCGGUUCUAGAUCUGCCACUUCCAAUUAGAUCUACAGUAGGGGCGGGGGAGAGGAGAUCGGGCAGCGAUUCUAACUUUUGCCUUUCGGAGAUACAGUGGCGGGGCAGGCCAAACGGCAUCUCUGCAGAGAGAAGCCGCUAAAUAAGCACCGUCCUUUAAGUAGAAUUUCUCCUUCCGGUCCAGAUCCCAGUCCACAGUCCACAUGUAUGCCUCAGUUUCUUUGACUGAUCCACAAUUAGAACUGAUCCAAUAAAAUAUUAUUUUGAAAUCAAGAAAUAUCUUUGCUUUUUAUUUACUGAUAGAAUAAUCUUUCACCUUUUUAUCGUUUUCUCAUAAACCAGUCUACCUCUAAGAUGUCUUAUUUGAAAACCAUAAAAACUGGCUUUUAAAAAAGCGAAUCCCAUCCCUUUCCAGAGGUUUGGUAUCAAAUCGAUUUUUUAAAAAUAGAAAUUCCCUGCAUCACUUUUUGGUGGGCGGAGAAAUGUGGGACCCUCCCCCCAAAUUAAGGAUUUUACUGCCCCAAAAGUGUCCUUUUCAGAUUUUAAAAGAAAGCAUUUUUGAAAUUUGUGAUGUUACAAAAUGCUCAAAUAUUAAAGCCAGGAUUUUAAAAUUUGUAUUUUGCUGUCAUCCGUAACAUUACUUGUAAAAAAAAAAAAAGUGAUAAUGAUUAGAAUGUGAUCUUUUUCUUUGGGGAUACAAUAAAAUAUGUUUCCAACUUAAUUCAUUUGCAGUCCAAGUAAAAGUAGACUGCACAAAGCCGUUAUUGGGGAGAUGGCCGUGGGAAGUAAUCAGAAAUAUUCUGAAAAGAGUUGAUUCGAUAGUGCCAUUCACAUUGGUGUGAACGAUGUUUAACAGGGGGCUUCGGUAUGAGACUUAGGAAUGUCAUUUCUUUUAUAAAACUGACAAGCAAACAAAGACAAUGCUACCAUCAAAUUUCAAAUGGACUUUUUCUUUAAGUUGCAAUGAAGUUCAAAUAUGGGGAAUUAAAGGCAUGUGUGGAAACACAACGAAAAAAUUUUAAUAAACAGCAGUAACAAAAUCUUCAUCUCACUUUGGAAA
rnacentral:lncRNA from 1 species